ensembl:lncRNA
CACACACAGCUAAUUUUUGCCAUCACACACAGCUAAUUUUUGUAUUUUUAGUAGAGAUGGGGUUUCACCAUGUUGGUCAGGCUGGUCUUGAACUUGUGGCCUCGUGAUCCACCUGCCUCAGCCUCCCAAACUGCUAGGAUUACAAGCGUGAGCCACCACACCCAGCAAUUAAAUUGCAUUUCUUAAGCACCCACCCUAAAGUUACUUAAUCAUAGCUGGAAUAUUUUCUGGCUCUUUGAAGUCAGGAUAGACAGCAGAUUUUGCAGAUAAAAUGCACAGGGCAUAAUAUGGCAUCAUAGCAAGGCCAGCUGUCUUCAUACCCAAAGGAUAUGGGAUUUUACAAUAUAUUUUCACUCUGAAUGAAGGUUUUGGGAUUCUCUGGCUCUUCUUAUAUCAGGUAAAGAACAGAGCAUGGUGGAAUGGACUUGAACUCUGAGUUUAGACAGAUCAAUCUUCUGAUUUGGAGUUCUUCUGAAAGUGACCUGGAGUCACUUUCUUCCUUUCUUAGAAUUUGUUCCUUCAUUUGCGAAGUGCGGUAAUACAUGUCUGACAGAGCUAUUGUGAAAAUGAGGAAAUAUGCAAAACAUAUUGCAGGUGCACAAAUGUCAGUUCCCUUCUGUUAUUGACGAGGAGUUGCCUCCACUUUAAUGAAAAGGAUUUUUAGUGUGACUAGGAUUCAGAAGGUAAGUUUUUCUUUAAUGAAUAGCCUGAUUCUUGAACGAUAAUGACUCAGCCACAAGGGCUUGAGUAAUUGUUUUAUGGCUUAGACUUCCCUUGGCAUGAGGACCCCACCCAGCCCAUAUGAAAAUGAAUACCAUUAAGCAGCCAAAUGUUUCUCCAUUUUAAUUGAAUAUUGUGUGUGGAGACCAAGACUCUCAGUAAGUCCAAGGACUCUUGUAUGUCAUGUCCUUAGCAUGAUGAUCUCCCCACUUCUUUUUACAGUCCAUGAUGGUGGAAGAAGAUGAGACAGGGGAUGUUCCUGUUUGGGGCUCCACUGAAAGCCUCUGGUGCAAUUUCCUUUGCUAUAGCAUUAAAACACACUUACUGAAGAAAAAAGAAAAAACAGUGGACUAGGAAGUGAGGGUUCUGUUUCCAGCUCUGGCCCUUGCUAGUGACUUGGAUGCCCUUGGGUAAGUCUCUUAACCUCCCUAAGACUAGUUUUCUUCUUCUGUAAGUUAAGAAUUAUGAUAUUAAUGGGUCUAUUGUGAGGUUCAAAUGAAAUAAUGGUAGUUAAAGUGCUUUAUAAACAAUAAAGCACCCUACAGAACUAGGGUAAUAUUAAUG